rnacentral:rRNA from 1 species
GAUGAACGCUGGCGGCGUGCUUAACACAUGCAAGUCGAACGGGACUUACUUUAUUGAAACUUCGGUCGAUUUAAUUUAAGUCUAGUGGCGGACGGGUGAGUAACGCGUGGGUAACCUGCCUCACACUGGGGGAUAACAGUCAGAAAUGACUGCUAAUACCGCAUAAGCCCACGGCCCGGCAUCGGGCUGAGGGAAAAGGAUUUAUUCGCUUCAGGAUGGACUCGCGUCCAAUUAGCUAGUUGGUGAGGUAACGGCUCACCAAGGCGACGAUCAGUAGCCGACCUGAGAGGGUGAUCGGCCACAUUGGGACUGAGAUACGGCCCAG